UGAAGAGCGAAAGCGUGGUAGCAAACAGAUUAGAUACCCUGGUAGUCCACGCCGUAAACGNUGGGUACUAGGCGUGGCGUCUUAUCAACGGAUGCCGUGCUCGAAGCUAACGCGUUAAGUACCCCGCCUGGGGAGUACGGCCGCAAGGCUAAAACUCAAAGGAAUUGACGGGAGCCCGCACAAGCGGCGGAGCAUGCGGCUUAAUUCGAUGCAACCCGAAGAACCUUACCUGGGCUUGACAUCGCGGGAAAAACCCUGGAGACAGGGUGUGCGAGAGCGUCCGUGACAGGUGGUGCAUGGUUGUCGUCAGCUCGUGUCGUGAGAUGUUGGGUUAAGUCCCGCAACGAGCGCAACCCCUGUCCUAUGUUGCCAGCACGUUAAGGUGGGGACUCAUAGGAGACUGCCGGGGACAACUCGGAGGAAGGUGGGGACGACGUCAAAUCAUCAUGCCCCUUAUGCCCAGGGCUGCACGCAUGCUACAAUGGUCGGUACAACGGGUCGCGAUCCUGCGAAGGGGAGCCAAUCCCUCAAAACCGGCCUCAGUUCGGAUUGGAGUCUGCAACUCGACUCCAUGAAGCCGGAGUCGCUAGUAAUCGCAAAUCAGCAAAGUU
rnacentral:rRNA from 1 species